CCCCCCACCCCCCCUACUGCGUUACGUAAUAAAAGAACGCUCCCUUAUUAUUUGGUUGCCACCAAAAAAAGAUACAAACAUUUUAAAAAGGCUUAUUUGAAAACGUAAAAUUGCUCUAACUUUUGAACAAAACUAGCUAGCGACUUAGUUUCUUCGUCAGAAGACGCGUUUUUAGUCCUCCAAAUAUGUUCCGAAGACACCAAAAUUGCCAAAAAUAAUGCAAGAAAGCACAUUUCAUAUAAAAUGCUGUAGAACGUACAGAUUAGGAGAUAGAAAUUUGGUGUCCACAGCAAAGUUGUUCAGAAUGGCUAGUACUAUAAAACUGCCGAAUAAAGUAUGUCCCUAUCUCAUCAGGGUGCGGAGAUAGAUUUUGAAAAACUGAGAAAAUUUAGGACCACCCUAAUAUCGUCAUGACCAAAAGUCGUAGAAUUUUGUACUGAUCAAAUGUCCCUUUGACACCAAAGCUCUAAAAUGCUUCUCCGAAGCAGCAAUAUAUUUUUUCUGCUGAUUUCACUUCUCCGACCACUGUGCCUUGGAGUAAGACGUCAAAACAUUAAAAGUUCGUUCUAUGGCUGCUGACUGACUGGGUUGAUCCUGGUUCGCUAGAGCUAGUUACUAAAUCCUUGCUAAAUGUCCUUGCUUCUUCAGGACUUUGGAGAUAGAUUUUGAGCAUUUUGUGAAUCUUUAAUAGAACAGCUUUUCAGAACAAUCAUUGUUAUCAGAGCCAAUACCCGAUCUAAACUACGGUACAGGAAGAAAGUCAAGCUGAAGAACACUAGUGGAGCACUUUCCUAACAAAACGUUUGUCAUAACGGUAAAAGACCUACCUGAUGAUGAAACACGCCUAAAGCAGAUCUCAACCAAUGGAUGUAUUCGCUAAGAACUAAGGUAAGUCUAGAACAAAAAAAAAAUACUCUCGCAGAUCAUUUCACUCGGGUCUAGCGCUAACGUCUCGACCUGAAGCAGCUUAACGAUUAGUUUAUAUGAUUUAUAAAUUACCUAAAAAGUGCAAUUCAACAGGAUAGUUAGUCGGAAACGAAAACGUACUUCAUUUCGGACAUUUAACUUUCAAUUAAAACCACGCUCACGAUAAACACUAGACUUUUGCCUUCAAAUGGAAAGUCUUCAGUACCCGUGAAAAAGUCUUUGAAAACACAACAAAACAUGUUGGUGUGCAAAAAAUUGUACAAGACAAAACAAACUAAGCCAAAUUGCUUUCUUACGGAUCCCAAAUCGAGGUAUGCCGACCAAGUCCACUUGUAUCAGGUUGACAUGGCAGCUCGUAGUUUCAACUUGUGAAAGAACCAAUCGCGAAAAUCAAAAGUAUCGCUGAAUCCAACAAGGCGGCUUCAAUACAAAAUAAUCGUCAGAAUCCUACAUGGUGACAAGCAGAAUGGCUUAACUAAGCUGACUUUGCGGAGCAUUGCUGGUUGCAGUCCAAUACGGUUGAAGUGUGGUAUCUAGCCAGAAAAGUUAUUAAAAACCCGUUUACAACAAAAAAUAAAUAACACGAUAAAAAAUAA